CCGCGGGCGGCCUUGCCGCGCCAGCCAAUAAGCGUUCCGCGCCCGCCGCCCGGCCCGCGCAUUGUGCGCGCUGACUCGCUGGGCGGGGUGUCCGCCGGCAUGGCUUGGGCUCCGGCGGUUCCCGAGGGCCGACACUCCCGGAGUGGAGCUGGCUACACCGAGGCCCAAGACCGCCUCUGAAGCCGGCGGGCGCCACGUCUCAGAGGGCGGGCAGAGGCAGCUCGGGCCCAGGUGGAGAACAUCCUCGUCGAACGCCGGACCGCACCUCUGGGUGUGCUGGAGUUUGUGCCACCUAGAGCUCCCCCGCCUCUCGCCCGCGUUCUUCCUGCGGCGGCCCUGCACCCGUCUCUUUUCUCUUCCAGACUGGAACCCGCUCCUGAGACCGCACCCCCGGGACCGGAGCGCGCCCCGCAUCGUGCAAACAUUCCACUCAACAAAUAUUUGUGGGUUGUUCAGAAAUUGUUUCCUGCUCUGACCUGUGAAAGAACUAUCGAAGUAAAAAAUUUAAAACUUGUUAGGGCUUGGGUGGGCGAGGGCCAGCUUUAUUUUACGUACAAUAAAGUUGACCAAGUUUAAGUAAUUUUAUGACAAAUGUUUACAAAACAAAAGAUUCCCUGUGACCCAUUGCUGUCCGUUUCCUUCCCUUUUUCCUGGAAACCAUUGAUCUGUCACAGGUUCCUCUAUUCUAGAAUUUCACAUAAAUUGGACCGUAGAAUUAUGUCAUCUUUUGUGUCUGGUUUAUGAAAUACUUUCUAAUAGUCAUCCAGUGAAAAAUAUAAAAAUGGCUACGUUGGGCCGGGGAUUUAGCUCAGUGGUUCUGCCACCUGCCUCGCAAGUGCCAGGUCGAACUCAAUCCCCAGUACCAAAAAAAUAAAUAAAUAAAAUAAAAAUGGCUGCGUUGUUUUGAUCGAGUAUUUACCGUAUGCCAGGACUAGGAGAGCCCUUACAUAUAUUAUUUACUCUUCAUAACCCCGUGAAGUACGGUCCUUUCGUCUUACGGAUGAGUAAACUGAAACAGUAUUGAGCAACUUUCCUGAGGUCACAUGGCUAUAAAGUGAGCAAUUUCCAGCAGUCGGAGCAGUCUGAGGAGGGCCUGACUGACAGCCAAGGCUUAGUACCUCCCCACCCUCCACCUUUCUCCCCGGGGAUUUUGGAAAACAGCUUCCUGCACAUUUUCAAUGAGUCACCUUUGCAGCCUUGAUUUCUGCAACAGAACAAAAACUGUAAUGGUUGUGAACCUUUUUCACCAAGCUGAUCCAGAAAGCCAAGCCCAUCAGAAACAAAAGGUUAUAGAAAACAGAAUUAGCAGCAUUUAGUACGUCAGCAAAAGGAGUGUCAGGUCCCAAAGACAUCUUUUGCAAUUUCUUCCCAAUAUCUGCAGCUGACCAGAUACCUGUGUGGAUGGAGGCUUGCCACUCAUUUCCCAGUGCAUAGACCAUUAUAGCUGUCACAGAACCCAUUGGCCCAAGAUCCAGACUUAAUUGACAAUCUGUACAGGAAGAACUACUCUCAGAACAGUAUUGCAUGUCACAGGGUUUCCUACAGUGACAAGAACCAAAACAAGAUCAUGGAGUAGACCGCACAUAAGAACACACUUCAGGUGUCACUGUCUCCCGUCAGUCCCAGAUGGGACCACUUAAUCGCAGGAAAACAAGC
ensembl:lncRNA